UCGUAGGUGGUUUGUCGCGUUGUUCGUGAAAUCUCACGGCUUAACUGUGAGCGUGCGGGCGAUACGGGCAGACUUGAGUACUGCAGGGGAGACUGGAAUUCCUGGUGUAGCGGUGGAAUGCGCAGAUAUCAGGAGGAACACCGGUGGCGAAGGCGGGUCUCUGGGCAGUAACUGACGCUGAGGAGCGAAAGCGUGGGGAGCGAACAGGAUUAGAUACCCUGGUAGUCCACGCCGUAAACGGUGGGUACUAGGUGUGGGUUUCCUUCCUUGGGAUCCGUGCCGUAGCUAACGCAUUAAGUACCCCGCCUGGGGAGUACGGCCGCAAGGCUAAAACUCAAAGAAAUUGACGGGGGCCCGCACAAGCGGCGGAGCAUGUGGAUUAAUUCGAUGCAACGCGAAGAACCUUACCUGGGUUUGACAUGCACAGGACGCCGGCAGAGAUGUCGGUUCCCUUGUGGCCUGUGUGCAGGUGGUGCAUGGCUGUCGUCAGCUCGUGUCGUGAGAUGUUGGGUUAAGUCCCGCAACGAGCGCAACCCUUGUCUCAUGUUGCCAGCGGGUAAUGCCGGGGACUCGUGAGAGACUGCCGGGGUCAACUCGGAGGAAGGUGGGGAUGACGUCAAGUCAUCAUGCCCCUUAUGUCCAGGGCUUCACACAUGCUACAAUGGCCGGUACAAAGGGCUGCGAUGCCGCGAGGUUAAGCGAAUCCUUUUAAAGCCGGUCUCAGUUCGGAUCGGGGUCUGCACUCGACCCCGUGAAGUCGGAGUCGCUAGUAAUCGCAGAUC
rnacentral:rRNA from 1 species